AUCUAUAUAUCAAUAUUCUGCUGGUUAUCCAACCCAACAGGGAUUGCCCUAGUAACGGCGAGUGAAGCGGCAACAGCUCAAAUUUGAAAUCUGGCUCUUUUAGGGUCCGAGUUGUAAUUUGCAGAGGGCGCUUUGGCUUUGGCAGCGGUCCAAGUUCCUUGGAACAGGACGUCACAGAGGGUGAGAAUCCCGUACGUGGUCGCUAGCUAUCGCCGUGUAAAGCCCCUUCGACGAGUCGAGUUGUUUGGGAAUGCAGCUCUAAAUGGGAGGUAAAUUUCUUCUAAAGCUAAAUAUUGGCCAGAGACCGAUAGCGCACAAGUAGAGUGAUCGAAAGAUGAAAAGCACUUUGGAAAGAGAGUCAAACAGCACGUGAAAUUGUUGAAAGGGAAGCGCUUGCAGCCAGACUUGCUUGCAGUUGCUCAUCCGGGCUUUUGCCCGGUGCACUCUUCUGUAGGCAGGCCAGCAUCAGUUUGGGCGGUGGGAUAAAGGUCUCUGUCACGUACCUCUCUUCGGGGAGGCCUUAUAGGGGAGACGACAUACCACCAGCCUAGACUGAGGUCCGCGCAUCUGCUAGGAUGCUGGCGUAAUGGCUGUAAGCGGCCCGUCUUGAAACACGGACCAAGGAGUCUAACAUCUAUGCGAGUGUUUGGGUGUCAAGCCCGAGCGCGUAAUGAAAGUGAACGGAGGUGGGAACCCGCAAGGGUGCACCAUCGACCGAUCCUGAAGUUUUCGGAAGGAUUUGAGUAAGAGCAUGGCUGUUGGGACCCGAAAGAUGGUGAACUAUGCUUGAAUAGGGUGAAGCCAGAGGAAACUCUGGUGGAGGCUCGCAGCGGUUCUGACGUGCAAAUCGAUCGUCAAAUUUGGGCAUAGGGGCGAAAGACUAAUCGAACUUCAGUGUCCCC
rnacentral:rRNA from 1 species